UAUGAGACCUUAUUUUCACUUCUCCAUUCAUGCAUGCUUCAAACAUGUUUCUUAUUGUUUUCCUACUGGUUUUGUCUACGCCUUUGAGUACUUCACAUCUUCAAUCUCCUCCUUCUUUCAUAAACCAUUUUGAAGAUUCUACAGAUCCCCCAUGCCAUUUUUUCAUGUUACGUUGCCCUAACGAAAGCACAUCACUCGAGAAAAUUAAAAGUACUUUGUUGGGUUAUAACAAAACUUUUGAUUAUGAUCAACAUGUUCUAAAAUCCCAAAACCAUGAGGUUUUCAACAUCACUUUCUUCAAACACGAGACUUCAUACCAUCAUUAUGAUAAUAAUGUCGGAAUAUGUGAGCAUUACAACCUGCAAUAUAACUUGAGCAUGCGGGUCCCAAAGAACGAUCCACACGCACAGAACUGUGUCACUCUACAGCUUCCCUUCAACAAAACUAACCUUGAAUCUAUCCGUCUUUUAUCUCCCUUCUCUCCAGAGUUUUGGAAUUUAUUUAAACCUUGUUAUAAUCCUUGGAGGUGUAGCAAUGGACAAGCUCCUAGAGGUCAAGUUCUUCAACUCCAUUUGUUUCAUCAGACUGAACUAGAUUGGUGAUUAAUUGAUAUUAGUAGUACUCUCUAAGUUUGAUAGUAUUAUACUAUAAUAUAUUCAUUAGUUAGUAGUCUUUGUUGUGUCUCUACAUGCAUGCGUGUUUGUAUAUAUUAUCACAAGUUUAAGGAAAACAAUGUACGUGUAUAUUUAAUUUCCUGCGAUUAACGAUGCUUUUCUUUUUCUUUUGCAGGAGGAAAAGACUAUAAAACGAUAAUCAUUGCAGGUAACUUUACUUUGGAGUUAAAGUAACUACCCUACUCAAUACUCAUCCGAUAUUACUUUGAGGCUUUAAUUUUUUAAUACUUCAAAAUUUUAAUGUGAAUCUAGUUACCGUUGGAUCUGCGUUCAUCGUUACUCUUGCUGCUGCCAUUUUCAUAAUCCGGCGAGCCAACAACCACCGCAAAGCGAUUGCAUAUUCUCGAGACCUUGAAGGCAGCAGCGUCUACUUCGGUGUCUCGCUUUUCUCUUACGCCGAAC
rnacentral:lncRNA from 1 species